rnacentral:rRNA from 1 species
GCAAGUCGAGGGGUAACAUUUCAGCUUGCUGAAGAUGACGACCGGCGCACGGGUGCGUAACGCGUAUGCAACCUACCUAUUACAUGGGGAUAGCCCGGGGAAACUCGGAUUAAUACCCAAUAGUAUUAUAAUACUGCAUGGUAUAAUAAUUAAAGAUUUAUUGGUAAUAGAUGGGCAUGCGUACCAUUAGAUAGUUGGUGAGGUAAUGGCUCACCAAGGCGAUGAUCUAUAGUUGGUCUGAGAGGAUGUAC